rnacentral:lncRNA from 1 species
GUGUUGUUCAAGAUUGAAAUAAGACAUACAUGUGUUCUACGAAAACAUCAAAUGAAUGAUUGAACGAUAAAUGUGCGUCGAUAAACAGGUACUCCCUAUCAGAUUCUGACGUUUAUUAGGGAGAGAAAGCUAAUUGAGGACCAUUAUCAGCCUCUUAGUAGUAGCUACAUUACCAGGAAUCAGUAUAACAAAACGUUUCUCUUCAGCAAUACGUAGAAUAUUAUAAAACAAGUUCAACAUUCAUAUUUGUUUUUGCUAUCGCUUCUUGGGUACUUAUACCCGUUGGUGAUGCUGCACAGUGAUCAUAUUCCUUGAAAAUAUCAAUAAAUUUUACUAAUUGGAAUUUGAGCAAGUUGACAUAAUAAUUGUUGUCUAAUAUUGUUUUUUUUUUAAACAUAAGCGAUCAUCAUGUGUAUAAUUCAUAGAUGUUUAUUUCAUUCAUUUCGAUUUAAACAUUUGCAUGAAAACUUCUUAUCACUUAGUCUCAUAUGAGUAAUAUGCAUGAUGUCAAUAGAGAAAAGUUCAGAUGGGUUCAUAUCAUUAAGACCGAGAUGAUAUACUGAAGUUCCAAAGCAUCUGAAACACAUUUCUGGAUCAAUCAUCACCAGGAACGUUUAGAUUUAAACA